GACAGAGGGGGCAAGCGUUGCUCGGAAUUACUGGGCGUAAAGGGCCAGUAGGCGGCCAACUAAGUCGGAUGUGAAAUCCCCAGGCUCAACCUGGGAACUGCAUCCGAUACUGGAUGGCUUGAAUUCGGGAGAGGGAUGCAGAAUUCCAGGUGUAGCGGUGAAAUGCGUAGAUAUCUGGAGGAAUACCGGUGGCGAAGGCGGCAUCCUGGACCGACAUUGACGCUGAACGGCGAAAGCUAGGGGAGCAAACGGG
rnacentral:rRNA from 1 species